CCUGCUGCCGCUGCAGCCCCGCGGCCUGCUGCCGCUGCAGCUCCGGGGCCCGCUGCCGCUGCGGCUCGGGGGCCCGCUGCUGCUGCAGCCGCCACAGCUGCUGCCUCGUGGCCCGCCGCCGCUAGAGCUCACAACCUCUCACGGCAUGGUAACCAGCCUCCACCGGCUCCUCCUGCCGUCGACGCUGCCAGCUGGUCACCAGCUGACGCACAGCCGGACCUGGAGGGACGCAGCUCACCCGGCCCUGGUGCAGUAGUGGCCGCCGCUCAGUCGCCCGCCAUCCCACUGACGCCAGACUGGGCAGCCGAGGGUCUUCCGGAGCACGGCGUUCAGCUGCUGUCGGCUCCUCCGACUACCGCCGGAGCCCCUGGCUCGGUCCCUGCCGGCGUCCCGGGCACAGCCACCGCGCCACCCACCGUCGCUGGCUCCGCCACCACCUCAAGUUUCGGGAACCCCGACCCGGCUCGCCAGGUAUGUUGUAACUUGU